rnacentral:rRNA from 1 species
AUGAGUUGCCUAAAAGAAGUUCCAACACUCAGAGGUGACAACCACACUGAGUGGAGGAAGAAAGUUGAACUGGCGUUUGUUUGUGCUGAUCUUGACUGGGUUGUGGAGAAACCACAGCCGGUCAGACCCACAGAGCCAGUAAGAGAGGCUACUGACGAUGAUGCUGCAUGGGCUAAAAAGAGAGGGGACUAUGCUCCUUUGGAGCAGUCCUACCUCAUAGAUAAUCAAAAGUGGGUCAAUGCAAAUAAAAAAAUGCAUGGCCUUUAUAAAGAACACCAUUGA